rnacentral:rRNA from 1 species
CCUACGGGAGGCAGCAGUGGGGAAUAUUGGGCAAUGGGCGCAAGCCUGACCCAGCAACGCCGCGUGAAGGAAGAAGGCUUUCGGGUUGUAAACUUCUUUUGUCAGGGACGAAGCAAGUGACGGUACCUGACGAAUAAGCCACGGCUAACUACGUGCCAGCAGCCGCGGUAAUACGUAGGUGGCAAGGGUUAUCCGGAUUUAUUGGGUGAAAGGGGCGGGUGGGCGGGAUGGAAAGUCAGAUGUGACAACAACGGCGUCAACCGGUGGCCUGAAUUUGAAACUGUAGUUUUUGAUUACGGGGAGGCAGACGGAAUUCCUAGUGUAGCGGUGAAAUGCGUAGAUAUUAGGAGGAACACCAGUGGCGAAGGCGGUCUGCUGGACAGCAACUGACGCUGAGGCGCGAAAGCGUGGGGAGCAAACAGGAUUAGAUACCCUUGUAGUC